rnacentral:rRNA from 1 species
GCAACAGCUCAAAUUUGAAAGCUAGCCUUCGGGUUCGCAUUGUAAUUUGUAGAGGAUGAUUUGGGGAAGCCGCCUGUCUAAGUUCCUUGGAACAGGACGUCAUAGAGGGUGAGAAUCCCGUAUGUGACAGGAAAUGGCACCCUAUGUAAAUCUCCUUCGACGAGUCGAGUUGUUUGGGAAUGCAGCUCUAAAUGGGAGGUAAAUUCUUCUAAAGCUAAAUAUUGGCGAGAGACCGAUAGCGCACAAGUAGAGUGAUCGAAAGAUGAAAAGCACUUUGGAAAGAGAGUUAAAAAGCACGUGAAAUUGUUGAAAGGGAAGCGCUUGCAAUCAGACUUGUUUAAACUGUUCGGCCGGUCUUCUGACCGGUUUACUCAGUUUGGACAGGCCAGCAUCAGUUUCGGCGGCCGGAUAAAGGCUCUGGGAAUGUGGCCUCCACUUCGGUGGAGGUGUUAUAGCCCAGGGUGUAAUACGGCCAGCCGGGACUGAGGUCCGCGCUUCGGCUAGGAUGCUGGCGUAAUGGUUGUAAGCGACCCGUCUU